CAUCCAGGCCCGAUCAGCCCGCCCCUUCCGCUACAGCAAGGUCAUGUGACAGGGGAUGUCCGCUCCCAGGUAGCAGUCACCUCAGCGUGAAGGUCUGAGCCCGGUCUCAGGAUGAGGAGGGGCCACGUGCUGCUCUUUUUGGCCUGGGUGUCCAUCCUUUUCUAUUCCGGCAUCUGGAUUUUCAUGAGUGGAUUUCUCCUCAUGCGCAUCGAGCUGAACAACCAAAGUUCAUGCGCUGAUCUCCCUUCCUCCGGCCCCCAGGGGCCCCUCCAGCAACAUCCGGGUACCUGCUGGCUUCCUCGCAGGUUUCAGAAGGCAGUGAUCAUCAUCAUCGAUGCACUAAAGUAUGACUUUGCCAAGUAUGAGCCGGGCAUCACCAACCCCAAGCCGUACCAAAACAAACUGCCAGUCAUACACCAGCUCAGCACCUCCCAGCCCAGGCAUGCGCGGCUGUACCCCUUCCGGGCAGACCCACCGACCACUACGAUGCAGAGAAUUAAGGGCAUGACUACAGGAUCGCUACCAACAUUUGUAGAUGUGGGCAGUAACUUUGCCAGCUAUGCCAUCCAAGAGGACAAUCUGAUUCAUCAACUUGUAGAGAACGGCAGAAGAGUGGUCUUUAUGGGCGAUGACACCUGGGACGGACUCUUUCCAAAGAAGUUCUACAAAUCCUACUUCUUCCCCUCCUUUAAUGUAAAGGACCUUCACACUGUGGAUAAUGGGAUCCUACAGCACCUCUAUCCCACAAGGGACAGUGGAGACUGGGAUGUCAUUGUAGCCCACUUCCUUGGUGUGGAUCACUGUGGGCACAAGCAUGGUCCCGACCACCCAGAGACUGCUAAUAAACUCGCACAAAUGAACCAGGUCAUCAGCUCCCUGGUAGAACAUCUGGAUGAGGAGACUCUGUUACUGGUGGCAGGAGACCACGGUAUGACAGAUACCGGAGACCACGGGGGAGACAGUGAGAAGGAAGUUAUGGCUGCCCUGUUUUUGUACAGCAAGUCUCCACUCUUCAGCCAUGAGCUGAGCAAGGAAGCUGAAACUGUCCCGCAAGUGAAUUUGGUCCCAACCUUGUCCCUCCUGCUUGGGCUCCCAAUUCCUUACAGCAACCUGGGUGCCGUUAUGCCUGAUCUUUUCUCUUGGCCCAAAAAGGAGUCCAGUGUCUCUGCCGCCUUGACCCUGGCAUCUGCUGUCCACAUUAACGCCCUGCAGGUAGGCCGUUUCUUGCAUUCCUAUUCGUUGGCGGCUGGCGACCUUCCCUCCGACAAGCUGAGAGACCUCAAAAGCCUUUUAUCGUCCCUGACGUCCGAGUACGAGCAGCUGAUAUCUGAGCGGAGCCGGGGCUCUUGGACCGAGUCGGAGUAUGAGAAUCGGCUGCGGCAGCAUGUACUCCGAGUUCAGCGCUACCUUGUGCAGGCCAGGGCUGUGUGCAUGGAGUCCUGGGCUCGCUUCCAUCCCCUGCGGAUGUUAGCAGGCUGCGCCAUUCUUGCCGCUACCUGUCUUCUGUGCUACCUGGCAGCUGAGACUGGCAUGGCCCUGGAUCUUUCCUGCAAGUUUUUGUUAACUUACCCUUUAUUUGGGAUUGUGGGUGCAGGAGCCCUGCUGGCAUUUGGAAAGUGGCUAUCGCUGAUAGAAUGGGACUGUCUAUCUCUGUGGGCUUUAGUUAUAGCAGCCUCCCAGCUGACCUUUUUCUACAGUUUCCGGAAGCAGAUGCAAGUGCGCGUCAGACUGAGAUUCCGCCAGCUGUCGCUUUUAUUCUCUGGCCCCUGUCUCAUUCUGAUAUUCCGCUGCGGUUCCCUCUUCUCAGACAGCUUUGUUGUAGCUGAGGGCCACGUGGCUCCUUUUCUUCUAAUGUCCCUUCUGGUACUGACUAUUUACAAGUUGCACUGGGACGGCAGAUUGACUCUUCCCACCUUAAGUCCACUAGGGGGCGAUACCACGAAACUUACAUUGUCAACAGGAUACAGAAAGGAUGGGCCCAUUUUGUUAGCUCUUCUGGGAGCCUUGACUUUGUGUGUGCGACUCUCUGGCAUCUUUCAUAACUGUCGGGAGGAGACCCCAGACUGCCAUCCCUCUCUGUUUCUGGCACCUCUAUCAAAUGUAAAGGAUCCUCAGUUAAAAAAUAUCUCCUACCUGGGGUGUAUUGUAUGUUUGGUGGCCAUUGUAUACAUGGUAAGGAAAUGGCUGCAGCAUUACGGGAACCUCAACAGCUCCUCUGCAUUGGUUCUUUAUGUUCGUUGGGGAUUCCCUCUAAUAGCCCUGGCUAUUACCUGCCACUGGGCUCUGAGCGCCGGGGCGGAGGAUAGCUUAGCUAGACUACGGGAUCUCAUACAGUUGGCUCUUGUAGCCUGUCCUAGAGCUGUGUAUGGCCUUGCAGCCCUGGGCCUAGUAUUCCUACUGUGGAACCCUGUGACUGUAUUUAUGAAAAGUAGUCGGGACUCGGAUGCAGACAACACCGUCACUACCUACAGUGGAGCCCCUGGGUCGCAGGCAGAACUGUUGCACGUCAUCCCCCAAAUCUACAGGAAGAUGCAGCGCACAAUGAAAAGCCGCCUCCGUCACGGAACGGAUGAAGAGGAAGAAAAUAAAGGGGCUGCUAUAGAAGCCUAUGGCCUUGGCAGUGUGUAUUCUGCAGCCAUGAUUGUUACUCUGUCCCUACUCACCAUGGUCCUGCUUCUGCUGCAUAGCGAAAGGAUAACUCCAGCCUUUCUCAUUCUGCUUGUGGAAGCCUUCGUGAUCCUGCAUAUCCACAGCCAUGUACAGAAUCUCUACUAUGCGCCUGACAGCUCUGACCAGUUCUCGGUGCCAUGGUACGCUGUUAUCUCUUGGGCCCUCGCUGGAACCCAAUGGUUCUAUUCCACGGGCCAUCAGCCGGUCUUCCCAGCCAUUCACUGGAAUUCAGCCUUCGUAGGGUUCCAGGAAGGACAUGAAAACAACAUCACUCCUGCAGUUCUGGUGGCGGCCAACACCUUCUCUGCGCACAUCUUGUUUUCAGGAAGCUGGAUCCUCUCUCCUGCUGCUGUGGCCGUUCCUGUGCGAAACCCCCGGUAAGAAGAAGAAGGGAAAGAAAGAGGCAGAAGAGAUGCCCCUGAUGGAAAUGAGGCUGAGGGAAAACCCAGACAAGUUUGCAGGGGCUCUGCUACAACUGGGGACCAAGUACCUCUUCAUUCAGGGAGUGCAGCUCCUGUCCUGCGUCUGUGCCGCCAUGAUCCUGCGAAGGCACCUCAUGGUCUGGAAGGUGUUUGCGCCAAAGUUCCUGUUUGAAGCAGCGGGUUUCACGGUGAGCAGCGUAUUUCUGUUCCUCGGGAUAGUGCUGCUACUCCGGGUCGACUCUGCCGUCAAGUCUUGGUUCAAGAGCCUCAUCCUCCAGCAGCAGAGGUAGCAAAUAGCAACCAGCGCCUAAUGGCCGAACCAGAACUAUUACUAAAUAUGGCCGCCUGGGUCCCUGGCCAUUGUGUUCCAUGCUCUCCUCUUAAUAUAGCCGGGUCAGGGGUGUCGCCAUCGAGGAGAAACUGAGCCCCAUUAUUAGGGGCAAGUAUUGUAUAGCAGUUUAUUUUUACUGUCCGUUCCUGAUGGCUUCACUGCAGCGACCAAUCAACUGCUUCUGAUCAGCAGCAGUGUCUUACGCUGGGUAAUCCGCUGCCGACUGCAACAUUACAAACUGCGCCUAUUGCCCCGAGGCAGUGCUACUUUGUAUGGCGUCUACAGGGGGGUUUAAUAAAAAACCUUUUCUCACA